rnacentral:rRNA from 1 species
UGGGGAAUAUUGGGCAAUGGGCGCAAGCCUGACCCAGCAACGCCGCGUGAAGGAAGAAGGCCCUCGGGUUGUAAACUUCUUUUCUAUAGGACGAAGAAGUGACGGUACUAUAGGAAUAAGCCACGGCUAACUACGUGCCAGCAGCCGCGGUAAUACGUAGGUGGCGAGCGUUAUCCGGAUUUACUGGGUGUAAAGGGCGUGUAGGCGGGAGAGCAAGUCAGAUGUGAAAACUACAGGCUUAACCUGUAGCCUGCAUUUGAAACUGUUUUUCUUGAGUGAUGGAGAGGCAGGCGGAAUUCCUAGUGUAGCGGUGAAAUGCGUAGAUAUUAGGAGGAACACCAGUGGCGAAGGCGGCCUGCUGGACAUUAACUGACGCUGAGGCGCGAAAGCGUGGGGAGCAAACAGG